rnacentral:rRNA from 1 species
AGUGAACGCUGGCGGUAGGCCUAACACAUGCAAGUCGAACGGCAGCGCAGUAAGAGCUUGCUCUUACGGGUGGCGAGUGGCGGACGGGUGAGGAAUACAUCGGAAUCUACUUUUUCGUGGGGGAUAACGUAGGGAAACUUACGCUAAUACCGCAUACGACCUACGGGUGAAAGCAGGGGAUCUUCGGACCUUGCGCGAUUGAAUGAGCCGAUGUCGGAUUAGCUAGUUGGCGGGGUAAAGGCCCACCAAGGCGACGAUCCGUAGCUGGUCUGAGAGGAUGAUCAGCCACGCUGGAACUGAGACACGGUCCAGACUCCUACGGGAGGCAGCAGUGGGGAAUAUUGGACAAUGGGCGCAAGCCUGAUCCAGCCAUACCGCGUGGGUGAAGAAGGCCUUCGGGUUGUAAAGCCCUUUUGUUGGGAAAGAAAAGCAGCAGGUUAAUACCCCGCUGUUCUGACGGUACCCAAAGAAUAAGCACCGGCUAACUUCGUG